AAAGCUAACAUCUAAAAUAU
rnacentral:snRNA from 1 species